AGACGAGGGAUCCUAGCGUUGUUCGGAAUUAUUGGGCGUAAAGCGGGUGUAGGUGGCUAUGUAAGUCAAGUGUGAAAGCCUGGGGCUCAACCCCAGAAGUGCAUUUGAUACUGCGUAGCUUGAGUGCUAGAGAGGAUAGUAGAAUUGUUGGUGUAGUGGUGAAAUACGUAGAGAUGCGGAGGAACACCAGUGGCGAAGGCGGCAUACUGGGGCAAUACUGACGCUGAGACGCGAAAGCAUGGGUAGC
rnacentral:rRNA from 1 species